rnacentral:lncRNA from 1 species
UAAGUCCUAAAGAAUGGCUCUCUUUGGCACCUGGUGUCAAGGCAUUAUUUAGAUGUUGUAGCCAAGUGCUUCACAAGCUUUAAAGUGCACAUGAAUCUUGUUAACAUGCAGAUCUGGUUCAGUGGGUCUGGGGUGGGACCUCAGAGUCUGCAUUCCUAACAAGAUCCUGGGAGAUACCAAUGCUGCUCGUGCGCAAACCACGCUCACAGGGAAAGCAAGCGGCCAGCAAACAGCUCACUUGUGCUGUUUUGUCAAGAAUGGACCUCAGAGGUUGUGUUUGAGAAGCUUGGCACACUGGUUACACAGGCGUGAGUGCCAGGUGGGUUCUCCUGGCAUCCAACACAGCUUCGGAGAAGCACAAGCAGGAAGCAAGGGACCCGUGAUGCAGGCCUGCAGCGAAGCCCUGGCCAGCCUGCCUCUCCACGGAGUUGGUUGAAGUCUGCAGAGAACUGGGCACCGCAGCUGUGCGUGGCACGAGAGGACAGUCUGAGAAGACCUGAAGUGAUGUACAAGAGGUGUUCAAUACAUGGUGCGUGUCACACUGUAAGAGCUCAAUAAAUAUUUGUUCACUGAAAAGACCCCAGGUGACUGGAUCACAGAACUGAAGAGUUGGAGGAGGCCGUGGAAAUCAGCUCAUCCAGCCUCCCACCUGGUGUAGGUUUUCCUUCUGAAGGAGCCAGGCAGAUGCUUCCCGAAAAGGGGAGCUCACCCACUGCUUGUAGAGAGUCCUUUUUGUGUGUAGGGACUUCUACCUCUGGGAUGUUUCCCUCACGUGGACAGAAAUCUAUCUCCCUGGACAUUCUACCAUCAGUUCCAGUUCAGCCCCCAACAACAUAAUACAGCCACUUCCUUUGCCAAAUAGCACCUGGAAAUGAGGUUUGCACGUGAAGGCAGCAUUUAAACAGGAAGCUGAGAGUCUUUAGUUCAGUGUCCUCCAACUUAAGUCUGGGUUGGCCAGCAUGGCCUGAGACUGGGUUUAACGCUACCCUACUUCACCCCACCCCAGGCACAGGUUCCCACAACCUGAGCAGCGCCUGUCCUGUUAGGGAGGGAGGCGAUUCACAUCCAACUGGGAGGAGCGGCCUUAUACGCUUAGAAAAGCAACUCUGUCAAAAUUGACACCUUCUGUCAUCCUCCCAUGUCGAGCACCCUGUCCUAGGAUCGUCACCCCUGAGCAUCCUUCCUGAGUGG